CAAACUUUCGCCACCUUCCCAGGCCCAGAGGACUCCCUGAUCUCGGGCCUGUCAGAACUGUGCUGCGGAAUGUGAGGUGUUGGGCUGGGAAGGCCCACGGGUUUCUAAUCAGGCUCUGCACUCUGCCUUCAGCGAUGCAAGUAAAACUUAAAAGUGCUUAGUGACCCAUUUUCGUGUGGGGUCAGAGGCCUGCUGAAGCCCCAGGCGACUUCAGACUGGUCACUUACCUCCCUGGCCUUCCUUUCUCGUGUGCAAAAUGGAGACUAUAACGGACACUCAGCAGCCAGCCAGGGAAAACAGGUCAGAAAAGCUUUAAAUGCCAUGCAAAUAGAGGGUAUUGUAAAGUGUUCUAGCACAUGGCGUGGCCUUCAGAAGUUGUGAGCGUCAUUCGAAAGUGUAUUGGUCAGAACGGGCUAGGUCGUGCUGCGGUAACAAGCAGCCCCCGGAUCUCGAUGAAUCAAAGCAGGGUCAGCCAAUAUUUUCUGUACAUACUUUAGGCAUCGGGGGCCCUACGGUCUCUGUUGCAACUCCUCAGCAAUUAUCGUAGCACGAAAGCAGCUUCAGAUGGAACACCAACGAAUGGGCCGUGUUCCAAUAAAACUUUAUUGACAAAAACAGGUGGUGAGCAAAAUCUGGCCCACGGGCUGUGGUUUGCUGAUCUUUGGCUUAAAAUCACAAAGGCUUUUUUUCCCUUAUGCCACACCUGCUCGAUGCCGGCUCCAGGGACGCUGAUGAUGGAGGGUCCGUCUCCAGCCACACCUCCACCAUCCUGGAGACCAGACCCAGGGGCUGGUUCUCACACCUUCUGCUCACCGGACACCUGAAUCCUUGUGCUCGUGUUUCAUCGGCUAAGCAAGUCACGUGGCCACAGCUGACGUCAAGAGGGAUAAGGUCACUUCGACCUUUUGCCCAGAGAGCAGAGAGCUGGAACUCAUUAGUCUCCAACCUCCCAGACGAGAAGACCUCAUUUCUGGUCCCCUCCUCUGCCACCGGCUGACUCUGACUCUCGAAGUUCCUCUCACGUCUCUGCCCCUAGUUCCCCACCUGUAGAAACGAGGCAUGUUUUCUAGAUUCCUCUCAAGCCUGGGAGUGGCACCACCGUUGUGGACCCCACUUUUCCCAACAGAGGACGAUGAUUUUAUUUCCACUGCGCAUCCAUGGCGCAGAGACAGGGUGUCACUCAGGCCGGGCAGCUCACUUCAGGCCCCAGCUGCCUAGACUGAGUGCCUGAGUCCUCCCCAAACUCGUAUGCUGGAGCCCUCCCCUUCAAGGUGAUGGCAUUAGGGGUGGGGCCUUGGGGAGGUCAUCAGGGGUACAUGAGGUCAUGAGGGUGGGGCCCCCACCGUGGGAUCAGUGCCCUCAUAGAUGAGGAGGAGACAGCAGCUCACUCUCUGUGUGCAUACACCAAGAACGGUCACGUGAGGACCUAACCAGGAACAGGCCGUCCCUGAGAAUUGAACCCCAUCAGUACCUGGAUCUUGGACUUCCAGCCUCCAGAACUGCAAGAAAUAAAUAUUGGUUGUUUAACCCCC
rnacentral:lncRNA from 1 species